rnacentral:rRNA from 1 species
GACGAACGCUGGCGGCGUGCUUAACACAUGCAAGUCGAACGGAAAGGCCCUGCUUUUGUGGGGUGCUCGAGUGGCGAACGGGUGAGUAACACGUGAGUAACCUGCCCUUGACUUUGGGAUAACUUCAGGAAACUGGGGCUAAUACCGGAUAGGAGCUCCUGCUGCAUGGUGGGGGUUGGAAAGUUUCGGCGGUUGGGGAUGGACUCGCGGCUUAUCAGCUUGUUGGUGGGGUAGUGGCUUACCAAGGCUUUGACGGGUAGCCGGCCUGAGAGGGUGACCGGCCACAUUGGGACUGAGAUACGGCCCAGACUCCUACGGGAGGCAGCAGUGGGGAAUAUUGCACAAUGGGCGGAAGCCUGAUGCAGCAACGGCGCGUGCGGGAUGACGGCCUUCGGGUUGUAAACCGCUUUCGCCUGUGACGAAGCGUGAGUGACGGUAAUGGGUACAGAAGCACCGGCUAACUACGUG